UACGAAGGGUGCUAGCGUUGUUCGGAAUCACUGGGCGUAAAGCGCGCGUAGGCGGCUUUUCAAGUCAGGGGUGAAAUCCCACAGCUUAACUGUGGAAUUGCCUUUGAAACUGUAAAGCUGGAGUGUCGGAGGGGAUGGCGGAAUUGCUAAUGUAGAGGUGAAAUUCGUAGAUAUUAGCAGGAACACCGGUGGCGAAGGCGGCCAUCUGGACGACAACUGACGCUGAGGCGCGAAAGCGUGGGGAUCAAACAGG
rnacentral:rRNA from 1 species